AUUGAACGCUGGCGGCAGGCCUAACACAUGCAAGUCGAACGGUAACAGGAAACAGCUUGCUGUUUCGCUGACGAGUGGCGGACGGGUGAGUAAUGUCUGGGAAACUGCCUGAUGGAGGGGGAUAACUACUGGAAACGGUAGCUAAUACCGCAUAACGUCGCAAGACCAAAGAGGGGGACCUUCGGGCCUCUUGCCAUCGGAUGUUCCCAGAUGGGAUUAGCUAGUAGGUGGGGUAACGGCUCACCUAGGCGACGAUCCCUAGCUGGUCUGAGAGGAUGACCAGCCACACUGGAACUGAGACACGGUCCAGACUCCUACGGGAGGCAGCAGUGGGGAAUAUUGCACAAUGGGCGCAAGCCUGAUGCAGCCAUGCCGCGUGUAUGAAGAAGGCCUUCGGGUUGUAAAGUACUUUCAGCGGGGAGGAAGGGAGUAAAGUUAAUACCUUUGCUCAUUGACGUUACCCGAAGAAGAAGCACCGGCUAACUACGUG
rnacentral:rRNA from 1 species